GUGGGGAAUAUUGGACAAUGGGCGCAAGCCUGAUCCAGCCAUGCCGCGUGAGUGAUGAAGGCCUUAGGGUUGUAAAGCUCUUUCACCGAUGAAGAUAAUGACGGUAGUCGGAGAAGAAGCCCCGGCUAACUUCGUGCCAGCAGCCGCGGUAAUACGAAGGGGGCUAGCGUUGUUCGGAUUUACUGGGCGUAAAGCGCACGUAGGCGGUUUGUUAAGUCAGGGGUGAAAUCCCGGAGCUCAACUCCGGAACUGCCUUUGAUACUGGCAAGCUAGAGUCCGGAAGAGGUAAGUGGAACUCCUAGUGUAGAGGUGGAAUUCGUAGAUAUUAGGAAGAACACCAGUGGCGAAGGCGGCUUACUGGUCAGGAACUGACGCUGAGGUGCGAAAGCGUGGGGAGCAAACAGGAUUAGAUACCCGGGUAGUCC
rnacentral:rRNA from 1 species